ACUUCUUACCACCACUCUGAGAAGUCAACAGGAAAAGGAUCAUGCUUUGUGUGGAGGAUAAAGAUGGAAGUUUUACUCCAGGUACUAGAAGCACCUCAGAGGCUCAAAGGGCGGCUUUAAAAACCCACUACAGACUUGGGGGCUUAAAACAACUCUUCUGGAGGUCUGAAGUCCAAAAUCAAGGUGUCCACAGGGCUGUGCUCCUUCCAAAAGCUCUAGGUUCAGCGCAAAACUGACUCAUGCAGUACCGGGAUCGCUGCCAGAGCGACGGAGCGCGCGAGCAGCGCGGCAUCAACAGGCAGAAGGUGCCACGGGGCGGACGGGACCCACUGCCCGGGUCCAGACUUUCCAUCCGAGAAAGCAAAAGCUUUCAGUAUCCAACUUAUUAGAAGAUAACAUCUUGAUAGGGUUCUCGGGCCUUCUUAAAAUAAAUCUGUCAGACUGUG
rnacentral:lncRNA from 1 species